AUUCAAAGGGUUCUCUUUUUCGCGAGGCGAGGUAGAGCGGAUGGAUGAACAAACGACGAACUUCAAGCGGAUCGUGUGGGACGAUGCCGCGGAGAGAAGGGAAUGUGUCGAGGCGGCGAACAGCAACAACACAACUACAUUUUUUCUUUGCCGGAACUUCUAGCCAUCCUGAGCUCUUUCUCACCUUCCAAACUUCAGCCCCUUCGAGUUGGCCACGGGGCGAUUUGGAGAGGAGGCUGCAAGCGCUGCGGACGGAGAAGGAAGAACUCGCCUUUCUUCUCUUCCCUUAACUUAAUAGGGGUGCCCUCCUUCACAGCCUAAGCCCCUACUCAACAUGACUCGACUCGCAUUCAGAGAAGAGAGGUCUGCUAGGGUUUUCAAUCCCUGUCUUUCUCUCUUCCUCUUCCCCUGCUGCAAAUCUCAAUAUCUAUUCCAAUAGUUUCUGGUAAGCCUGAUAGAUUUGGAACAUUACAACCAUAUUGGCCGUAUAUUAGAUGUUUACGUUCCCAGGGUAAGAUAUUUAAGAACACACAUGAGUUCUCUAAACUGCUUAGAUCAACAGUCUUCUUUGAUGUAGGAUCCUAAGAGAUCAGGUCAUAGAGGUUUUUGAUUUGUUACUUUUGCUGAAGAUGGUGUAGCAGAUCGUGUCUCACGAAGGCCUCAUGAAAUUUGUGGACAACAGGUAGCAUUAGAUUCAGCCACACCUGUUGAUGAUGCAAGUCCGAGUGAGAAUUUUAUGAUGAAUGGCGUGGGUUCUUUUGGGGGUUAUGGAGGUCCUAUGCGAACUUAUGGGAGGAUGUAUGGUAGCCUGGACUUCGACGAUUGGGGUUAUGGAAUUCCCAGUCGGAGGCCAUCAAGAGCAGAUUGGAGAGACUUGGGAAUGGGACAUGAUGAAAUGAGGGGAUUAUUCCCUAUUGCUUUUGAAUAUUCAGCGAGAAUGCUGUUCACAAAAGGCAUCUUCCAGUGCUCAUAUGUUGCAUGCCAUGAACUGUGCGCCAAAGUAGCAUAUAUCAUUGUUUUGUUGUUGCUGGAUUCCUGAAGAAGAAAAUGACGUUACUGAGAAAGUUCACACAAAAUAAUUGAUUUAUGCAAAAUGAAAUGAGGUUGCAGAUAAGCAGAGAAGGUAGUGCUCAGAUAUAGGCAUCAUAGUUGGUGCAAUAGUUGGAAGUUGUUUAUGAGGUUCAAGGUCCUUGAGAAUGCGAAAUGGACACUCUCGUGGAGAGUGGGAGUCUUGCUACGACUGCUUCGGAAGAAGUGGUUAGGAAUUGGUAAAGAAACCUGAUAUCAAUGUCACUGAGAUGUCCAUUUGAUCAGUAUAAUGGAUGGAAUGUACAAUGUUAGCUGUGUUCUGGUUUGAAUUAUGUUAUUGACUCACUGCUUGUAGUGUAUAAUUUGUGCUCUAUGCUUUCCUUUCGUUUGAGUACUUCAUGUCAGUAGGAAAUGUGUGAUUCAGUGUAAGAUAGAAAGAUGUCAUAUUUGAGUUGCUCUUGUAACACAACCAUGACUAAACACUUCAUUGCUUAUUUCUAUGAAAAUAAGGCAAGUAAUGUUAUGUGUAACAAGAAUGAAGAAUCACUUCUUAUAC